rnacentral:rRNA from 1 species
AUUGAACGCUGGCGGCAUGCUUUACACAUGCAAGUCGAACGGCAGCGGGGGCUUCGGCCCGCCGGCGAGUGGCGAACGGGUGAGUAAUGCAUCGGAACGUACCCAGUUGUGGGGGAUAACUACUCGAAAGAGUAGCUAAUACCGCAUACGCCCUGAGGGAGAAAGCGGGGGAUCUUCGGACCUCGCGCGAUUGGAGCGGCCGAUGUCGGAUUAGCUAGUUGGUGGGGUAAAAGCCCACCAAGGCGACGAUCCGUAGCGGGUCUGAGAGGAUGAUCCGCCACACUGGGACUGAGACACGGCCCAGACUCCUACGGGAGGCAGCAGUGGGGAAUUUUGGACAAUGGGGGCAACCCUGAUCCAGCCACGUCGCGUGAAGGAAGACGGCCCUACGGGUUGUAAACUUCUUUUGUAAGGGAAUAAAGUGUAGUACGCGUACUAUUUUGCAUGUACCUUACGAAUAA